GUGAGGAAUUUUCCGCAAUGGGCGAAAGCCUGACGGAGCAAUGCCGCGUGAAGGAUGAAGGCCUAUGGGUUGUAAACUUCUUUUCUUAGAGAAGAAUAUUGACGGUAUCUGAGGAAUAAGCAUCGGACAACUCUGUGCCAGCAGCCGCGGUAAGACAGAGGAUGCAAGCGUUAUUCGGAAUGAUUGGGCGUAAAGCGUCUGUAGGUGGCUUCAAAAGUCUCCUGUCAAAGAUCAGGGCUUAACCCUGGGACGGCAGGAGAAACUCUGAGGCUAGAGGUUGGUAGGAGCAGAGAGAAUUCCCGGUGGAGCGGUGAAAAGCGUAGAGAUCGGGAGGAACACCAAAGGCGAAAGCACUCUGCUGGGCCACAACUGACACUGAGAGACGAAAGCGAGGGGAGCAAAAGGGAUUAGAAACCCCAGUAGUCC
rnacentral:rRNA from 1 species